UACGAAGGGAGCUAGCGUUGUUCGGAAUCACUGGGCGUAAAGCGCACGUAGGCGGAUGUGUCAGUCAGGGGUGAAAUCCCGGAGCUCAACUUCGGAACUGCCCUUGAUACAGCACGUCUUGAGUCCGGAAGAGGUGGGUGGAAUUCCUGGUGUAGCGGUGAAAUGCGUAGAUAUCAGGAGGAACACCGGUGGUGUAGACGGCUCUCUGGACCGUAACUGACGCUGAGACACGAAAGCGUGGGUAGCAAACAGG
rnacentral:rRNA from 1 species